UUACAAGGGCAAAUAAGCAGGACUUGUGAUCACUGAGCGUGAUAACUACCUCCUGUGUAUUGUUUUUGUACCAUUUCACUUUUUAUAGGUUCAUUUGCAAUGAAAUCUAACGAU